GGCACUAUAGCCAAGUGGUUACGGCGGUUGAUUCGAAUGGUUCUCGCCAUCAACUCCUCUUCGAGGGCGCAGGUUCGAAUCCUGCUGGUGUCG